rnacentral:rRNA from 1 species
AGCUCCAGUAGCGUAUAUUAAAGUUGUUGCAGUUAAAAAGCUCGUAGUUGGAUUUCUGGUUUGACAUGCCUGGCCCGCCACGGUCACGUGUGUGAGUGCCGGAGCGUGUCUGCCAUCCUUGUGGAAAACGUGUCUACCCUUCACUGGGCCGGAUACGCUAUCCACAUCAUUUACUUUGAAAAAAUUAGAGUGUUUAAAGCAGGCUUUUUGCUAUGAAUACAUUAGCAUGGAAUAAUAAUUUAGGACUUCGGCCCUAUUUUGUUGGUUUCUAGGACUGAAGUAAUGAUUGAUAGGGAUAGUUGGGGGUGCUCGAAUUCAGCGGCCAGAGGUGAAAUUCUUGGAUUCGCUGAAGACGAACUCAUGCGAAAGCAUUCACCAAGGAUGUCUUCU